GCAAAUUAACCCAUUUCCCUCCAUGAAAUUUUGAGCAAGUACAUUAUUUUAGCAUUUACACAGAUCAUAAUGCCAACUUUGGCCGAAGACAAAGAGUAUUUAUGAAGCCAUCCACGUGUAUCUACAACAUAGCAAUCUACAAAAUCCUCCGUGAAUAGACAAUUUACAACAUCAAUUGACGAAAUACAACACAUAGCAAGGUUAGAACCAACACAAUCCAGUUUACAUCAAAAACAUAUACAAAAGAUUCUAAUUCAACUUCUUGUCGUUGGCCCCCUCUUGAUCACAAUUACACCAUGUCAUGGCAUAUGUGAUAGGCUGCACCAAGUAGGAAUAACAUGAUCUGCACAAAAUUAGAACAAACAUUAGACAUUUCUAGAGAUGACCUAUAAGUGACAACAUAACAAAUUAUACAUCACAGAACUCAAGUGCUGUAGCAUCAAAAGUUGAGGCCAUAAAUCCGCCGAAAAAAUUAGAAACCUAAAUUGAUAUAAUUAUUCAAGUACUACUGUGCAUAACGAUUAUAUAUGAUAAGGGCUAGGGGUUGCCCACUUACAUUUUCAUGCAUUUAAUACAUGUCUUUAAACUGAAUUUCUUCUCUGGACGAGUUAAACUGGCAACUAAUAAAAUCUGCAAGCUCCCAAAGACGAAUUCCCAACGUGUGCGAUACUGAUAUGGCUGAGAGUACUCACUGGUUACAAUAUACUAGCAAGGAGCACAACAGAGGGCAUAAUACAACAGUACACCACAAUUUUACACAUCGGUCAAGGAGAAGAAUGCCAUGUAAGAAAUCAUGUCCCAUGUUGCAUAGAAAGAGCAUUAGUGAUUCAUCCCAUAUGCCAUGGAAUGGAAAAUAAUGGAACUGCUGCACCAUAGUACUUAC
rnacentral:lncRNA from 1 species